CUCCCCGGCGGCCCGCCAGCCCACCCCGCAGAGGGCUGCAGGCCCGGACGGCUUUCCUGACUCUGCCCGCCGCGCCUGAUCCAACAGAUUCAAUUCCAGCAUUUCUUGAACAAGAGUAGAAGCCUACCUACAGGUUUGUUAAGUUUUGAUGUGCAUGACUGAGGCACGGAACUGUCUAGUGGGCUAGCAUUCUAGAUGAGGAAACUAGGGCACAGGGAAAGGUGAAUGUCUUGUGGAGAUCCCAUGGCACAAGGGGCAGAGGUGUGAUUCAAACCAACAGUCUGAUUCUAGGGCCCCAUCUUUACCUCCACACUCUUACUUUCCCAAACGUAUGUAAUUUUUCUUUUUUUUUUAGAAUUAUCUGAGAAAUAUGUCAUCUCCAGCUUGGAUUAAGAAAUGCAAAAUCAUAGGAUGAUUCAGAACCUCUGGGCAGUUAAUGGCAUGGGUUAAGGAUGCUGAUUGCUCCAAAGACACGGAAGAGUUUUUAAUCGUUGGCCAUUCCUAUGCACCCCAUGGUGGAAUUGUAAGUAUUUUUUCUUCUCUGUACAGAAAAAAAAAAGAAAGAAAGAAAAAAAAGGUGAGUGGGAGAAGAAAUUUCUCUUGUCAGCCUGAGCUUUAAAAAGAAGGAGGAAGUAUGGGAUGAGUGGAUGUUUUUAAGCUCAGGCAUAUGUUGGAGGGGGAGGAAAUGAGACUGAGUGAGAAACAAAGUGCUGACGCUGAGGAUCCUCCGCGGCCUCAGGAUGACCCAGGAAUCUCACCAGUUCCUGUAAAAAAUGCCACAUGCUAAGAGCAUGCUUUGUCAAAGAAGCGCCAGCACUGAGUGAAAUCAGAAGAAUUAGGAGUGGUGCGAACCAGGGCUCCUUGUAAGGUGAGAACUCAGUUUCCCUUCAUCCAUCCAUUGUCCAUCCAUCCACCUGUCCGUCCAUCUGUCCAUCUGUCCAUCUAUCUAUCCACCUGGCUGUCCAUCCAUCCAUCCAUCCAUCCAUCCAUCCAUCCAUCCAUCUACCAUAUCCAUCUACCCCUCCAUAUAUCUGUCCAUCCAUCCAUCCACCCACUUGUCCUUCCUUCCAUCCACCCGUCCACCCCUCUAUCCAUCCCAGAAGCACUGGGGAAGGCAGGCAGGAAAGAUAGAAGGGAACAGAAAUUAAGUUCAGCUGAUCAUCUGCUAUGCCAAUAAGGUCAGGCUUAAUCUCAGGACAAUGCUGAUGGAUUGGUGGUAUCCGCCUGGAAGGCUGUAUUGAGAAGGAUUCUGAGGUCUGGUCUAUCUUCUCUAGCAAAGAGUAUUGGGAUCAAUUCAGGGAUAUCCGCCAUGAGCACAACCGGGGCAAGUAUCGGCAGUCACACACAUCCUCAAAACCACCAUUCUGUGCCACACUCCCAGCUCAGGGCUAGUGAGGGGAGCAGACAUAGGACAUUUUGGCCUGAAAGCCACUCAGUGUGGGAUGGGAGUGGACAGCUGGCCAUGGUUAGGAGGAAAGGGCAGGAUUUGGGGAAUGAGGGCUUGAUCUGGGCAGUCCAUGCCGCUCUGCCAGGAAAAGCAUGAACAACUUCAGCAUGCUAGUCAACCUUUCUCUGUUCUGAGCCCUGACAUGUCUUACACAGUGUCCUGAUCCCUUAGGACCUGGUUACUGAAAGCUUCCCUGGGCCAUCCGCUGAAACCCUGGGAAGUCCCAAGAGGUGAUGAGCUCAGCUUUGCAAAGGAGCUCGUCCUGGAAUUCUACCCACACCAAUAAGAAGCAGUUUGCACUCCCAGAAUCCUUCUGAGCCACAGUUUUCUCAUCUGUAAAAUGGAAAGAAACCCCACCCCUGUAGGAUUGCAGUGAGGAUGAAACACGAUGUACAGGUCUGGGCUAUAGUGACACUUUCUAAAUGACUCGUGUUUUUAUUUUGUUAUAUUUUUAAGAUUUUAUUUGUUUAUCAGAGAGAGAGAGAGAGAAAGAGCGUGCGCACAAGCAGACAGAGGCGGAGAGGGAAGCUGGAUGCGGGACUCGAUCCCAGGACCCGGGAAUCAUGACCUGAGCUGAAGGCAGUGGCUUAACCAACUGAGGCACCCAGGCAUCCCAUGACUCAUGUUUUUAUAAAAACCCUCACAACUUUAAUUUGGCUCCAGGCUUUCUAUCAGUCAGUCAUAUUUAUUAUACACUUAGUAGGUACAAAAGGGAGCAGAAAGAAGGCUGAGGUCUAGGGUGACACAGAAGACAGGCACAGCAUAGAAAACUGUGGGAUCAGGGACAAGUGGUUGAUUUCCCAGACUUCAGGAAGAGGUGGAGAAUUUGAACGCGGUGCCCAUUGAGGACAAACAGUAAAGUGACUUCCCUUUUCCCAGCCGUGAAUUUGGGAUACUCUUCUCUUUUCCUGUUUGGGCUUUUGUGUUCCUCAGAGAAGAAACCUGUACUUCUGAGAAGCGGACAAGAGAAGGUCAGGUUGUUGCUCACGAAACACUGACUCAAAACCCUGAGUCUUUUCCGGAUUUGUCUACACUUAAAAAAAAAAGAAAGAAAAAAAAAAGAGCCAAACCCUUUGCCCCAUUCAGGAGAGCAGGAGCAGGGGUGGGAGAGGCCACGGUGGGGUGGGGGGUGUCCUGUGGCUUUCUGGCCAAGGCAGUGGGGUGUGAGGAAACCCCACCAGCCAGCCCUGCCCCCAGAGGGAACCAAAACACAAUAAGAAACCCCAUUCGGCAGACCACGGAAAAGUCCUCUUUGUUGUUCGAAA